GGGACACGUGGUAUCCUGUCUGAAUAUGGGGGGACCAUCCUCCAAGGCUAAAUACUCCUGACUGACCGAUAGUGAACCAGUACCGUGAGGGAAAGGCGAAAAGAACCCCGGCGAGGGGAGUGAAAAAGAACCUGAAACCGUGUACGUACAAGCAGUGGGAGCCUCUUUAUGGGGUGACUGCGUACCUUUUGUAUAAUGGGUCAGCGACUUAUAUUCUGUAGCAAGGUUAACCGAAUAGGGGAGCCGAAGGGAAACCGAGUCUUAACUGGGCGUUAAGUUGCAGGGUAUAGACCCGAAACCCGGUGAUCUAGCCAUGGGCAGGUUGAAGGUUGGGUAACACUAACUGGAGGACCGAACCGACUAAUGUUGAAAAAUUAGCGGAUGACUUGUGGCUGGGGGUGAAAGGCCAAUCAAACCGGGAGAUAGCUGGUUCUCCCCGAAAGCUAUUUAGGUAGCGCCUCGUGAAUUCAUCUCCGGGGGUAGAGCACUGUUUCGGCAAGGGGGUCAUCCCGACUUACCAACCCGAUGCAAACUGCGAAUACCGGAGAAUGUUAUCACGGGAGACACACGGCGGGUGCUAACGUCCGUCGUGAAGAGGGAAACAACCCAGACCGCCAGCUAAGGUCCCAAAGUCAUGGUUAAGUGGGAAACGAUGUGGGAAGGCCCAGACAGCCAGGAUGUUGGCUUAGAAGCAGCCAUCAUUUAAAGAAAGCGUAAUAGCUCACUGGUCGAGUCGGCCUGCGCGGAAGAUGUAACGGGGCUAAACCAUGCACCGAAGCUGCGGCAGCGACACUAAGUGUUGUUGGGUAGGGGAGCGUUCUGUAAGCCUGUGAAGGUGUACUGUGAGGUAUGCUGGAGGUAUCAGAAGUGCGAAUGCUGACAUAAGUAACGAUAAAGCGGGUGAAAAGCCCGCUCGCCGGAAGACCAAGGGUUCCUGUCCAACGUUAAUCGGGGCAGGGUGAGUCGACCCCUAAGGCGAGGCCGAAAGGCGUAGUCGAUGGGAAACAGGUUAAUAUUCCUGUACUUGGUGUUACUGCGAAGGGGGGACGGAGAAGGCUAUGUUGGCCGGGCGACGGUUGUCCCGGUUUAAGCGUGUAGGCUGGUUUUCCAGGCAAAUCCGGAAAAUCAAGGCUGAGGCGUGAUGACGAGGCACUACGGUGCUGAAGCAACAAAUGCCCUGCUUCCAGGAAAAGCCUCUAAGCAUCAGGUAACAUCAAAUCGUACCCCAAACCGACACAGGUGGUCAGGUAGAGAAUACCAAGGCGCUUGAGAGAACUCGGGUGAAGGAACUAGGCAAAAUGGUGCCGUAACUUCGGGAGAAGGCACGCUGAUAUGUAGGUGAAGCGACUUGCUCGUGGAGCUGAAAUCAGUCGAAGAUACCAGCUGGCUGCAACUGUUUAUUAAAAACACAGCACUGUGCAAACACGAAAGUG
rnacentral:rRNA from 1 species